YGCAACAUACCUUUCGCUCCUGCUAAUGCAGCACUGCGGAGCUGCCUGCAGGAGAGGGGCCAAGGUCCUGCUCAGGAGCUCGUCCAGGCCUGAGAGCGGUAUCAAGCCCUUGAUUUGCCUAGGGCUCAUUUUUCCAGCUGUAGAGAUGUGUGAAUAA
rnacentral:lncRNA from 1 species